rnacentral:lncRNA from 1 species
AAAGGUUAGAAUGUUCAUGUCCUGGGUGGCAUAUUUUACUGUGUCCUAUUGGUUGGUGUGCUGCAGCCGGUAGCAAGGUUAUUCCUUGAGGCUGAGAUAUGGAGUGGAAGUUCAUGAAAGGAAAUGAUGUGCUUUCGGUUCAGGACUUGGGGAAGACAAAGGCACGUUCAAAUCAAUUUGUCUUUGUAAUCUUGACCAUUCAUUUUGAUCUAAAGUUUAAAAACUAUUCCUACUAUUCUCAUACAAAAUUUGUCAUUCUCAUUUAAGAAAUAAAAAGUAAUGAAAGGUUGGUAAACAAUAAUGAAAAGAGAU